GAUGAAGAACGUAGCGAAAUGCGAUACGUAAUGUGAAUUGCAGAAUUCAGUGAAUCAUCGAAUCUUUGAACGCAUAUUGCGCUCUUUGGUAUUCCGAAGAGCAUGCUUGUUUGAGUAUCAGUAAACACCUCAAGACUUCAAUUUGUUUUGAAUGGCUUUGGACUUGAGCAAUCCCAACACCAGUCUUUACGAUCGGUGGAGGGUUGCUUGAAAUGCAGGUGCAGCUGGACAUUCUCCUGAGCUAAAAGCAUAUUUAUUUAGUCCCGUCAAACGGAUUAUUACUUUUGCUGCAGCUAACAUAAAGGGAGUUUGACCGUAUUGGCUGACUGAUGCAGGAUUUCACAAGGGUCGGCAACGAUUCUUGUAAAACUCGAUCUCAAAUCAAGUAAGACUACCCGCUGAACUUAAGCAUAUCAAUAAGCGGAGGA
rnacentral:misc_RNA from 1 species